ACCUUCUUGUCAAUAUUUGUACAAUAGAUGGUCCUUGCACACAUCUCACGCUCAUCAUCAGACCUAGGUAAAAAUGUAUCAUUAACAGGUGCUAUCGCAGUUUUCGACGGGAGCACCCUUACAGGGUAGUAACCCAGCAUCGUUCCAGUGAGACCUAAAGCUGCCCUUGCACCCUCUUCAUCUGUGAACUCUAUAAAGGCAAAGCGAAGAACAGACUUUGGGUCACCACAUAUGCGACAGUCCACAACUUGUCCACAAGAGACGAAGAGUGCAGCAAGAUGUUCCUCAGUGACCUGCUGAUCGAUGUCGGAGACAUAGAUCGUCCUCCUAAUCGCAUCCUCCUGCUGCGCCAGCCGCGUCCGGCUGUUCAUCCGCCGCUUCCCCUGGUUGUAGUUAAUCUUCUUCCGCCGGAAAGAACUCUGAUCUGAACCGAGGAAUCCGCUGAGAUUGAUCGGACCGGUGCCGACCGGCCGCCGGCGAGGAUCAGCUAAAGACGGCGGUACGAACUCCUCUGCCAUCGGAUUGAGCUUCGAGAGGAGCUCCUCCAGUUCGAGCAUGUCGUCGCCGGCGGUGGUGUUCGACCGG
rnacentral:misc_RNA from 1 species